rnacentral:rRNA from 1 species
GUUUGAUCCUGGCUCAUAUUGAACGCUGGCGGCAUGCCUUACACAUGCAAGUCGAACGGUAACAGGUUAAGCUGACGAGUGGCGAACGGGUGAGUAAUGUAUCGGAACGUGCCCAGUCGUGGGGGAUAACUGCUCGAAAGAGCAGCUAAUACCGCAUACGACCUGAGGGUGAAAGCGGGGGAUCGCAAGACCUCGCGCGAUUGGAGCGGCCGAUAUCAGAUUAGGUAGUUGGUGAGGUAAAGGCUCACCAAGCCGACGAUCUGUAGCUGGUCUGAGAGGACGACCAGCCACACUGGGACUGAGACACGGCCCAGACUCCUACGGGAGGCAGCAGUGGGGAAUUUUGGACAAUGGGCGCAAGCCUGAUCCAGCCAUGCCGCGUGCGGGAAGAAGGCCUUCGGGUUGUAAACCGCUUUUGUCAGGGAAGAAAAGGUUCUGGCUAAUACCUGGGACUCAUGACGGUACCUGAAGAAUAAGCACCGGCUAACUACGUGCCAGCAGCCGCGGUAAUACGUAGGGUGCAAGCGUUAAUCGGAAUUACUGGGCGUAAAGCGUGCGCAGGCGGUUAUGCAAGACAGAGGUGAAAUCCCCGGGCUCAACCUGGGAACUGCCUUUGUGACUGCAUGGCUAGAGUACGGUAGAGGGGGAUGGAAUUCCGCGUGUAGCAGUGAAAUGCGUAGAUAUGCAGAAGGACCACCGAUGGCGAAGGCAAUCCCGUGUACCUGGUACUGACUCUCAUGCACGAAAGCGUGGGGAGCACACAGGAUUAGAUACCCUGGAUAGUCCACGCCCGUAAACGAUGUCAUCUGGUUUGUUGGGGAGGGUUUCCUUCUCAAUUACGUAAGCUUACGCGUGAAAGUGACCGACUGGCGGAGUACCGGCCGCAGGGUUGAAGCUCAGAGAAUUGACGGCACUCGCAAGAUCGUGCAUAAAUGUGCUUUAUUGCAUGGCACCGCAAAAGCCUUUCCUAUUCUGAAUGUCUGUGAUCUUGAAGAAUUCGUAGUGUCUCGACGGAGGCAGACCCAGGGUGGGCUGGGCGUUCUCCCUGGUCCUGAAGUAGCUGAGUUCAAACCAUGGCUUAUCUUGCAUAGGUCCAAAGGCCCCCUGGCAUCA